rnacentral:sRNA from 1 species
GCGCGGCCUCCGCCGAAUCCAGGUGCGCCCACCGGGCCACCGGAACCGGGGACCCGACCGAACGUGGGGUGAAUCGGCCCAACCGCCCUGUGCGGCAAGGGCCGUAGGGCACACCUUCCGGAACCGACCGCCCGAACCCGUCAGCCAACCCGGUAGGCGGAGUACGGAAGGAGUA